rnacentral:lncRNA from 1 species
CCUAUUCCCUGAGACACAGAAAAAUUGAAAUUAGGCCAAUUAAUAACCCUACAGUGGCAUCUGUGUGUUCAAGCAAAAGGAAAAGUCACACAUCUCUCACUUUAAAUCAAAAGCUAGAAAGGAUAAAGCCUAGUGAGGAAGGCAUGUCAAAAGCCGAGAUAGGCCAAAAGCUAGGUCUCUUGUACUAAACAAUUAGCUAAGUGGUGGAUGCAAUUAAAAGUUUUUGAAGGAAAUUAGAAGUGCUACUUCAGUGAACACAUGAAUGAUAAGAAAGCAAAACAGUUUCAUUGCUGAUAUGGAGAAAGUUUGAGUGGUCUGGAUAGAAGAUCAAACCAGCCACAACAUUCCCGUAAGCCAAAGCCUAAUCCAGAGCAAGGCCCUAACUCUUCAACUCUAUGAAGGCUGAGGAAGGUGAGAAAGCUGCAGAGGAAAAGUUGGAAGCUAGCAGAGAUUGGUUCCUGGGGUUUAAGGAAAGAAGCCAUCUCUAUAACAUACUAUAAAAGUGCAAGGUGAAGCAGCAAGUGCUGAUGGAGAAGUUGCAGCAAGUUAUCUGCAAGAUCUACCUAAGAUAAUUGAUAAAGAUGGCUGCAUUAAUCAACAGAUUUUCAGUGUAGAUAAAACAGUCUUCUAUUUUAAGAAGACAGGACUUUCACAGCUAGAGAGGAGUAAAAGCCUGGCUUCAAAGGCUCAAAGAACAGGCUGACUCUCCGGCUGGGGGCUAAUGCUGCUGAUGAUUUUAAGUUGCAUGCAGUACCCAUUCACCAUUCUAAAAAAUCCUAUGGCCCUUCAGAAUUGUGCUGUAUCUACUCUGCCUGUGCUCUAUGAAUUGAACAACAAAGCCUGGAUUAAGCACAUCUAUUUACAGUAUGGUUUACUGAAGAUUUUAAGCCCACAACCUGCUGCUCAGAAAAAAAGAAAAGAUUCCUUUCAAAGUAAUCCUGUUCAUUGACAAUGCACAAGGUCACCCAAGGACACUGAUAGUGAUGUAAAGGAAAUUCCUGUUGUUUUAGUGCUUGCUAACACAGCAUCCAUUCUGCAGCCCACAGAUCAAGGAGUAAUUCCAACUUUAAAAUCUUAUCAUCUAGGAAAUACAUUUUGUCAGGCUAUAGCUGCCACAGAUAGUGACUCCUCAAUGGAUCUGGGCAAAAUAAAUAGAAAACCUCUGGAAAGGAUUCACCAUUUGAGAUGCCAUUGAGAACAUUCAUGAUUCACGGGAGGAGGUCAAAAUAUCAACAUUAGCAGGAGCUUGGGAGAAGUUGAUUCCAACCCUCCUGGAUGACUUUGAGGGGUUCAAGACUUCAGUGGAGAUAGUCACUGCAGAUGUGGUGAGAUAGCAAGAGAGCUAGAAUUAGUAGUGGAGCCUAAGAUAUGGCUAAAUUGCUGCAAUCUCAUGAUAAAACUUGAAUAGAUGAGCAAAAAAUGUGGUUUCUUGAGAUGGAAUCUAUUUCUGGUGAAGAUGCUGUGAACGUUGUUGAAAUGACAACAAAGGAUUUAGAAUAUUACAUAAACUUAGUUGAUAAAGGAUUUAGAAUAUUACAUAAACUUAGUUGAUAAAGCAGCAGCAGGGUUUGAGAAGAUUGACUCUAAUUUUGAAAGAAGUUCUACUGUAGGCAAAUUACUAUCAAACAGCACCACAUGCUGUGGAGAAAUCUUUUGUGAGAGUCAAUUGAUGAAGCAAACUUUAUUGUUACCUUAUUUUAAGAAAUUGCCACAGCCACUCCAACCUUCAACAACUACUACCCUGAUCGGCCAUCAGCCUUUAAUAUGGAAGUGAAACUGGCA